rnacentral:lncRNA from 1 species
CUUGGAAGAGCUGGGGCAGAGAGAGAAACAACAGCUUCUUUGUCUGGUUCUCUCAGAAGCCAACUCUGAGGCAAGGAUUCCUAGGAAAGACUAUCUUAAGAGUGAGAGGUGGAAUUUUAUUAUCUAUGGGACUGCUCUAUUUGCUCCCUUGACUGUGAGUGAUUUAAAGAUACUGGGUCUUGCUCCUUCACCCAAACUGGAGUGCAGUGGCACGAUCGAUCACAGCUCACCGCAGCCUUGAACUCCUAGGGCUGACACCAUCCUCCCGCCUGAGCCUCCUGAGUGGCUGGAACUACAGGAGUGCACCACCAUGCACCUAAUUGGUAUUUUAAAUGAUAACAACCACACGAAUAAUAUUAACAAUAAUGAUGAUGGUGAUAAUGACAGCUGCCACUUAUAUCCAUGGGCCAAGCAUUGUGCCACGCAUUUUGCUUACAUCUUCACACAAAAUCUACCAGGGAGGGAGUGUCUUUAACUGUCAUUUUACAGAUGGGGAAACUGAGGCUCUUAUGGGGAAGCCACUGGCCUGAGGUCAAGCACUGGAAUGUGACUGAGCCAAAAUGUGGCAGCAGAUCUGACUAUCGGCCUUUGUGGUUCACGAUUAUUGCCUCCAUUACAGUGCUGCCUGUGUGCUGGUUCUCGCAUGACAGGGAGGGUUGUGAGUAGACAGAGGGGUUGCAGCAGGACUGGCCCCUACCGUGUCAAAAGGGACAGGUCACAGGCUGAGCAGGAUGGGGCGGCAGGGGCAGGCUGCCUCCCCACACGCAGAGGUCCCACCCCAGCUCCCUACCAGCAGCAGACUGGGAGCCCUAGUGUGCCCAGCGCCCCCAUGAUUGGCAGCCUGCAGAUGGCAGGGGUGCCUUGGAAUUUAUUAUCCAAGCAUGCCUUUCCGAGGGGGCCUCACUGCCUGACACUGCUUUAUCGGAAAGCUGGGAAUGGUUAGCUGAGCCCAUCUGUUAGCCAAAGAGGGGAACUCAGUGGGUGGGGAAGUCUGUGGAGUCAUUUAAAAGGAAUUUCUCUGAUGCUGAGGCCAGGGCAGAAGGUUAUCUGCCCGUGGGCCGUUGGGCUGCCUGGUUUGGGGUAUUGGGGGCUUGGGGGUGGUGUGUGUGUGUUUGGUGGGGGACUCUCGUUGCUUGUUCUAAACCAAAAAUUGCUAGAGCCCUUCCCCCUUCUGAACAACAAUUUGAACUCUGCAGUGCUCUUUCAUUGCUGAAACCACCACAUUAGCAUCGUCAGUGUCUUGGUGACGAAUCUAGGACAGAUGGGGAUAAAUGCAGUGAUCUGAAUUAAUACUGGGGUGGCUAAUGAAUCCAGGAGCCAGGAAAUAAUUAGGAGAAGUUACUGCUCCUGACAUGGCAAAUAGAAGCUGUGUGUUAGAUGCCUUCUUCUCUCUCCCCUCCCACCAACCAAGAUGCCCCGGAAGACAGCUGUGCAGCCACCUGGGGUGGGGGACACUUGGAUGUCAGGACUUGAUCUUGGGUGAGGAUUCUGGGACAUUUAUGACAGAGGCUGGUGAACAGCAGGUGGAGACAGGAGAAUGGCGGUUCUUCCAUUGUAUAUCAAAGGUUCUUCUGUGCUUGGAAAAAGCACUGGACUGGGAGCCCAGAGGCCUGGGUUCAAGUGCAGGCUCCUACUGGAUCAUCCUAAGGCAUGUGGUUCCCUCCUCCAAUGCUCAAUGAAAGUAGAGCAUGAUCGAGGGUAGCAUGCACUGUUUGCUGCCCAGGGGCAGGCCCAUGCUAAAUGAUUUGCAUAGGGCUCUCAUUUAAUCUUCCCCCACAGCUCUAGUACUCUGUUUGUUCUCACUCUACCAAGUCCAAUUGUUUCAAUAGCUCAUUCAAGGGCAUGCAGUUGAUAGCAGAGCUGGAUUCAAACCCAGAAAUCAACUCAAAGGUCUGAGCCCUUGACCAUACCAUGUCACUGCCUUUUGCCACCAAGAGCCAGAUAAUCAUUGAUGUUUCUUCCAACACUGACAUAUUUUUAGGCCUUCAUGAUUCUUGUAGAUAUCUUGUAGAUAUCUGCUUUGCAAUAUGGGGAGUGAAAGGGAGUUGAGCUAUGCUUUUGUAAUUGGGUGUCUGAAAAGGCUGGGCCCCUAUUAUAUAUGAUCAUACGCUUUAUUCUUCCUUUCUAAAACUUAGCAUGUUUGCAAUUGAAUAAUUAAGUGUUUAUUGUUUAAUGGUUAUCUACCCUGCUAGACUGAGGCUCCAAAAAGAUCUCAUCUAUUUUGCUCACUGUUAUGUCCCCAGUGCAGAGAAGAGUGGAUGAUAUGUUGUGUUCGAAUUGAUAUCAUUUGACUGUGUCCCCACACAAAUCUCAUCUUGAAUUGUAGCUCCCACAAUUCCCAUGUGACAUAGGAGGGACCCGGUGGGAGAUAAUAGAAUCAUGGGGGUGGUUUCCCCCAUACUGUUCUCAUGGUAGUGAAUAAGUCUCAUGAGAGCUGAUGGUUUUAUAAGGGGUUUUCCCUUUCACUUGGCUCUCACUCUUUCUUGCCUGCCACCAUGUAAAACGUGCCUUUUGCCUUUUUCCAUGAUUAUGAGGCCUCCCCAGCCACAUGGAACUGAGAGUCCAUUAAACUCCUUUUUCU